rnacentral:lncRNA from 1 species
CUAACUAAGCUUCCACAAAGAAUCCUUAUUCUGAAACGACUUCACUGAAAUGUACAGAAAAUAUAUAACACAGCAAAACAUUAUGGCGCAUAUGUUCAUGUUGAUUUGUUCACAAAAGUUAAGUAGUACAAAGCAGUAAAGAUACUCAACUUCAAUUUCUCUGAACCCAUGCAACAACCCUGUCAAUACCAGAUAAAAAUGUACAGGAAAAUUACGUUGUAGGAAAAAGAACCAAGAGAGAAAGAAUAGUAGCUUGAUUAUUCAAACCAAGUCGCAGAUCAGCAUGUUCGUAAUAUUAAUGUUAGCUGCAGCUUAAAAAUCAAG